rnacentral:tRNA from 1 species
UGCGGAAUUGUGUAAUGGUAGCACUAAUGACUCUGACUCAUUCUGUCUAGGUUCGAAUCCUAGUUCCGCAGCCA